GUCUCUUUCAUCGAAAUAUGUGCAUCGUUCGUUAUCACUCGAUUUCGGUAACAUCCGGAGGAACUGAAAUGAUAACAGUUGUUCCGGUUUGAGGAGAUAUUCGAAAUUUGGGUUUUUCGCAUAGAAAUGUUGUUCGCGUGACAAGUCCGUAUCAAAUACUUAUCAGUUUCCACCAAAUUGAAAUGGAUAUUCCAACCAGGCAAAGUAAAAAAAAAUUGAAGGAUUGGAUGGCAUAUCCCAGAUGAACCGUCUCUUUUCCUGAAAAAGAUUUGUUUCGAAUCGAGGAAUUAGGUUUCGAGGAAACAAAAAUCCACCGAUCUCUACAAGUGAUGAAGUCGUCAUGAGAGGCCACAAUUCUGAUAUGGUCGACUAGACGGGUUUUGCAGAUAUGGUGUUGAACACGGAAUGGGCACAAGUAGAAGUUAUUGAUCUUAUAAAUGACGGAUCGGGUUUAGCCUUCGGAAUCAUUGGUGGCCGAAGCACAGGCGUCGUCGUCAAGACCAUUUUACCUGGAGGCGUAGCAGACAGGGACGGUCGUCUUCAAAGUGGAGACCAUAUCCUCCAAAUCGGGGAAGUGAACUUGAGAGGCUUAGGCUCAGAACAAGUGGCUUCGGUACUUAGACAGUGUGGCAUACACGUUCGGAUGGUUGUCGCAAGACCUAUUGAGUCCACUAAUGCGGACUAUAACACUUUGGGAAGCCACGCACCAAUUGUACCCACAAAGAUUCUUGGUGAUCCCGUUGAACUGGAUAAGCACUUGAUCGAAAAUGGUUUGACCGAAACAUUCAUCAAUCAUUCUUCUAGUCUGAGCAGUCCUUAUAUUUUCACAGGAAAAGAUGCUGACUUCCAAUUGCAUGAAAUCGCAAGCUUAGUGGAUGUGGUGAAGGAUCCUCUGCCGAUUGGCCCAUCUCCACGUCGAUCUAAAACAUCUAACGGUUCUGUGGAUAUACUUUCAUUGUCUAUGAAUCUGCAAGAACCUACCCAACCAGAAACCGAAUCCUACGAGGUUAAUCUAACGAAAGAUGAUUCCGGAUUAGGAAUUACAGUGGCAGGGUAUGUGUGUGAAAAAGUUUUUGUUUCAGAAGAACUAUCAGGUAUAUUUGUGAAGAGCAUCAGCAAGGGAAGUGCAGCCGAUCUGACUAACAAGAUUAAAAUAAACGAUAGAAUCAUUGAGGUAGACGGAAAGUCGGUUGUUGGCAGAACGAACCAUGAAGCUGUUGAGAUUUUACGUAAAACAGGAAAUCUCGUCUGCAUAAAGUUCGAGCGUUACCUGAGAGGUCCCAAAUACGAUCGCUUACAACAAGCCAUCAAAGCAAAUGAGUUACUUGCCCCUUCAUCUCCGUCCUCAUCAUUUCCAUCUCUGCCUAAAGCAUCUCUGAGUAGGAUGCAACCCAACUAUUUUAUAGAGUUGGAUCCGGAUUCGAGAACUAGCUUCGACUUCGAUUCGACGAUUAUUUUUGAAAGCACAACCCCAACGAAUGAGGAAGAUAAAGAAAUUAUUUUUUAUGAGUCGAAACCUGCACAAAAUUUUGAGUUUAUACGAGAUAAGUGGCGAGAGAUAUUGGGCUACGAUGCUGAGAUUGUGGUUGCAGAGAUGAGAAAGGAGCCUUCCAGUGGUUUGGGCAUCAGCCUAGAAGGGACUGUGGACGUGGAGGACGGAAAGGAAGUGAGACCCCAUCACUACAUAAGGAAUAUUCUACCAGAUGGUCCAGUGGGAAUAAAUCGUAUACUACAAUCUGGCGAUGAGCUAUUGGAGGUGAAUGGCAUUCAUUUAUUAGGAUUGAAUCAUUUGGAAGUGGUCAAGAUAUUGAAAAAAUUAUCGCAUGAAGUGAAAAUGAUAUGUGCCCGACACUCAACCCCCACAAGAAUCAUAGACACUGCUCAACAUAGAGAAGCAUUCCAAGCAAGAAAUAUACUGGCAGGCAGUCUACAAACACUGAUACCUUCAAGAGAUCGUUUGGUGAAGGCCAAAUCGGAAACAUCUUUGGUAUCCUGCAGUGCCUUGAGCCAGGGUCUUAUUUCUGAGGGACGAUCUAGAUCCCUCGAAAUGACUGCUGGACUUCCUAUGUGGAGAGACGAAACAACGGUUGUUGAACUCCUGAAGGGGGAUUAUGGAUUAGGAUUUUCCAUCUUGGACUACCAGGAUCCUCUGAGUACACAAGAAACCGUGAUAGUAAUUCGGUCUCUGGUUCCUGGCGGUGUAGCACAAGCAGAUGGACGUCUUAUACCCGGAGAUCGUCUGAUUGCCGUGAAUGACAUCAAUGUUGAAAGAGCCAAUUUAGAUACGGCUGUUCAAAUCCUUAAGGGAGCUCCUAGAGGUCUUGUGAAAAUAACAGUUGCAAAACCUUUCACCUCAAAUGAUGGAAAUUCUCAAGCCAGUCAGGAUACUGAAGAUGGAUCAACGUGCCUAGAAGAAUUCCAGGAAUGCCUGGAAGAAUACCAAGAAUGUCUGGAGGUUAUUCACAUAGGCGUUGAUGAUGAUACGUCUUUCAAUACAUCAUCAUGCACGUCUCGAUCAGAAGAGUUGGAACAAUAUAAUAAUGCUCAAAAUGUUACGAAACCUAAGCACAAUAAUGAAGCCAUAAAUAUGAAAAGGAACAGUAUUGAUGAAAGUGAUUUAGAUAUAAGUUACAAAAGUACAAAUAAUGCUAAAUGCUUUAAAUUUUCAAAACAUAAUGAUGAAGAUUCAAUUUCAAUGGACCACCAAGAAAACAGAAAUAUUUUCAUUAGGGGCGAUAGCCAAAAUACUCAAAGUGAUAAAAUAUCAUCCGAAAAAGAAGGUUAUGAAACUUGUAUAGAUGAGUCUUUGUCAGAGGACAUUAAGUACAAACAUAACGAAAGCCGCCAUGUAAAUAAUAUUUAUGAUUUGGUUCUUAAUGAACAGAGUCCAGUCACUGGAGAUUCAGAUGAAACGCCAACUAAUUGUAGAUCUAUCUCGAUGAAAAAUUCUCUGAACGAUUUAAUAGAAACUCCAAACGUCUCCAAGAUAUUGCAAGGACUAGAAACAGACUUAGGCACGGGUCGUAAAGCGAACUGUGACCUUAAAUGUUACGACAAUUAUUUGGAGAGCAAUGGUGGUGAUGAAUUCUUCUUAGUUGACUAUCCUUCGGCCAGGCAGAAGGAAAGGACGGUGCAUGAUGAUAAAAUAGACUCUACAGAAGAAUUGUCAGAAAAUCGUUUGGGUUACCGAAAGUGUUUGAAGGAAUACUACAAUGACAUUCAGGAAUGUAUGAAAGCCUUCAUGGAUAAAAUGGGUACACCUGAGAUGUGCGAUGAUGAUAUUUUCAACAAUAUCAUUUUACCUGUUAGGAGCAGAUCUGCCCCGAACGUGAUGGAUCGAUCAUUUGUCAUGAUAACCUAUGAUCCUGGACCUGAAAAAUGCAGGAGAAGAUCAGCCUUCGAAACUGCCCACGAAAAUAGGAUUAUCACAGGUUUCCAAAUGACGGUUUUUCGAGUAGAUAGUGAUAUAAAAUCUACUGCCGGAAGGGUAACCUCUAAUUCGGCUCUGCACAAACAUUGGGGUUCUACUCAUAGUGUGAAAGUUUUCCGUGAGCCGAACUCAAGUUUAGGGAUAAGCAUUGUAGGAGGAAAGGUCGAUCUAAGAGCUCAAGACAACAACGGGAAUACCACCCUUGGAAUAUUCGUCAAAAGUGUGGUGCAGAAUAGUCCAGCUGGUAAAACCAGAAAGUUCAAAACUGGCGACAGAAUUUUAGAAGUCAAUGGGGUGAGCUUAGAUCAGAAGUCUCAUGAAGAAGCCGUACAAAUUAUAAGAAAUGCAAAGAAUCCAGUAACAUUUGUUAUCCAGUCUCUGAUACCUUGGAUAGAAAAUGACGAUUCGAAUCCAAGUGAUGAUCCAACUCCAAUUGCUUCACCUGUUAGUACAAAUAUUCCAGUAACCUUUUCUGACGAAUUCAAUGAGGACAUCUUGUUGAAUGCAGUUAAUGAGAAUGGAUCAGAAAAUAGAAGAUUGAAUGACUUGAGCAUUGGGGAAGAAUCUGAACCACCUAGUAUAUCAGUCACUCCCGAACCAAUACAGAAUUACCAAAGGCCUGCCACUCCUCUGCCAAAUGAUGAAACACAUUCCAGUGACAGUGAGGAUGAAGAUGAUGACUCAAGGCUACUGGAAGGAAGAACUAUGUCUGCAGCUGGACAACAGAUCGAUCGUGCGAGCGCCGGCAAUGUCAAAAGGACCAAAGAAGAAAUCGCAAACGACCCGGAACAAGAGGAUGAUUUCGGAUAUACAACAAAUAAAGUGAGAAAGAAAUACGCCAAUCUGGGGCACUCUAUAAUUAUGGUACAGCUGGAGCGAAGCAGCCAAGGUCUGGGUCUCAGUUUGGCUGGCCACAAAGAUCGAAACUGCAUGGCCGUCUUCGUUUGUGGUUUGAACCCAAAAGGAGCCGCAUUCAAGACGGGAGGUAUUCAAGUUGGGGAUGAAAUUUUGGAGGUGAAUGGGGUGGUUUUACAUGGUCGCUGUCAUCUCAAUGCCUCGGCCAUAAUCAAAGGACUUUCCGGACCAAUAUUCAAAGUUAUCAUACUAAGGCGAAAAGCUGCUAUAGAUGACAUUGCGGUCAAACCUAUCACCCAGUUUCCUGUUUCGUUGGCAGAAGAGGCCUCCGAGGAAGCGUUCAGUGCAAGCUAUCCGAAUGUUCGCACCGUCGCAAUCAAAAAGGGAGCUCAAAGCCUGGGGAUUAUGAUAAUAGAAGGCAAGCAUGCAGAAGUCGGACAGGGUAUUUUCAUAUCGGACAUCCAAGAGGGAAGCUCCGCAGAGAAGGCUGGUCUUGAAAUUGGAGAAAUGAUUCUAUCAGUCAAUAAAGACACACUCGUGGGGGCAAAUUAUGAUACGGCAGCCGGUCUGCUGAAAAGAACUGAAGGCUUAGUGACACUCAUUGUAUGCAAUCCUGGCAAGAAGGCUGCAAUGAACGGACCUGAUGCUGCUGCUGACGCCCAGGGAAAAGGUCAGCUGAAGGUGUCUGGACCACCAUCAAGACCAGCCACUCCUGUACCAGAGCCCCCUGCUGAUCCCGCAACAUGUCCGAUAAACACAGGAGUAGACACAACCAUUGAAAUUGCAACAGACAAUAAAGGACUGGGAGUUGUCUUCGUUGGGGGAAAGGACGGACUCAUACCUAAUGGUAUCGUUUUACUAGAAAUUUUGCCGGGUGGAAUGGCCGAUAAGGAUGGACGACUUCGUGUUGGUGAUCAAAUAGUGGAUGUUAUGGGAACCUCAAUGAAAGAUGCAACUCACACAGUAGCCCAAUUAGCCCUUAGACAAACACUGCCAAAGAUGAGAAUGAUCGUCUAUAGACCAGAAAAAGUUGAGUAUACUGACGUAGAAGUUGACUACAUCAAGAAGCCAAACAAAGGUCUUGGAUUGAGCAUUGUGGCAAUGAAAUCAGGAAAAGGAGUAUUUAUUGGAGAUUUAGUUGCUGGUGGACUGGCUGAGAUAGAUGGUAAAACGAUGAGAGGAGAUAUAAUAGUAUCAAUUAAUGGACAAAACGUGGAAAGCCGCACUGGAGAAGAUGUCGGAGCAAUUUUAAAGACCUUGACGGGUAAAGUGUCGCUGAAACUUAAGAGGUUGAAACCUACGGCGAGAUAAUUAUCCAGAAACAUGCAAUAGGUACUUAAUACUUAGCCGCAUUGCCUAAAAACUUGACGUAAUCUCCAAAAUACAAAACGAUGUAUGGAUAGAAUCUCAGAAUUUAGUUACCCCCGUAUGAGUAGAGUCGCAACUAAUUCGCUGGGUGACUGGAACAUUCUAUUUAUUCUCUAAAAAGAUGGACUGCAGUGAUAGUAGUGGUCCGUUUAUCACUAGGAAGUAAAGUAAAUCAUAGUAUUAGUGAACCUAGUCAGAUUUUAUAACUGAAAUAUUCAACUAGUAUCUAGUUGGUAAAGUUUAAGUACAUAGUGUUUUCUCAAAUUUGAACAAAUAAGGGACCUAAUUACAGUGAAGUGUUCUAGGAAGUGCAAAAAGUACUGUGUCGACCGAGGGACUGAUGAAAUGGUUCAAUCUCUCAAGAGUCGUUUUGAUGCAUUGUUAUCUGAAUACUUUUUCACUGUUCCAAUAAAACACGUUCAUUUCUACUAAAUGAAAAUGUUUUAACUUCACUCUAGUCAACUAAGUUAUAUUGUUGUUACUUAAUUUAUUGAUAUUCGUUUAAGUAUGUUUUAAGUUUUUGCCGGAUUCUUCGAGGAAGAAAGUUCAGAAAGAUUAUAUUUUAUGAAUUCUGGAGUAAAUUUCGAGAUUCAAUUUCUAAAUUAAUUCCAAUAUAAAAUGAAGAACUCUGAAAAUUUCAACUUCUUGAAGCAUUUUAUACACUUACGUUUCUGUAUUCAUUGAAACAAUUCAAAACUAAAUGAUGCAUGAUGUGGCAUAAGGUAUUGGGGUAUUUGGGUUUUAAGAGUGUUGUUAUGGUGUAUUGAUUUUGACUUGAAACUCUGAACUUUUUUCGAUCUGGCUGAAAAAAACCUGCUUGAAAUGUGAUAAAACCUUCGAUUACCUAUUGAACGAAAUAUAGUUUCCUCUUAUGUGGAAUAAAAAAUAUUAUCCAUCGAUAUGAAGACUUAGAGGAAUAUAUUACCCGAUACUUGUAGUUAGCAGCUCUAUAAGAGUAUCUUAGAGAGUUAAAUCUAAUAAUGGCAAUAUCAUUCUAGAAAACUUCAAAUAUAGUCUAUUUCGAAUAUUCAUAUUACAUGAAUUAUUUACAUUUAACUAUAUUGACUUGUAUAAAUUACAAAAGUCUCUUAGAGAAAUUCAUUCAUUACAACUGAUUUAUGAACCGUUUUUGAAUAUUGUUAUGCAAUUGUCACGUGCUAUUAUUUCAAUAAAAUACACUUUAUCUCUUGCUA